GGAUUCCACGAAUUUACAUUUUUGUUCAGAAAGAUAGGCAACAAACCCACAAGUAAAUUUUUCUCUGUCAAGUGCUAGCAAGUGCUAUAAAGAAGUAUCAAGAUAAGCUCUCUGGGAGAUAACACGUAAACAGAGACCUGAAGGCAGUGCAGUAGUGAUCCUUGUGAGUGUCUAAAGAAAGAAGGUUCUAUGCAGAGGAAGUACAGAGGCUUUGUGCUGGCGUUAGUGUUGUAUACUUAACAAGGCUUAACAAGCAGGCCCGUGAGUCAGAAGUGGAGUGAAGGAGGCUAAGUAUAGCAGCACGGAGUCAUUGAAAUCUUGGGGUGCAAACAGACCAUUGCAGGCUUGGAAUCCAUUGUAAGGAUGUUGCUUUUCCUUUGAGAGAGUUGGGAAGCCAGUGGAGCCUUUCUGAAUGACUUGGUCCUGGAAUCCGUCACAUCUGUGAGGCCUCUCCAUCUCUGUAUCCAUUUGGUGUCUGCGAUAUUGCUAUAGCUGCUUAUAAUCAGAGCCAGCCCAUGAGGGAUGUAUAGGUAAGAGAGACGAUACUGCCCCAUACCUCCAACCCCUCAGGAUGCAGUAAUUUAAAUUUUGUUCCUUUGAAUUUCUUGUUAUGUCACAUUUCAGCGUGGGUGUGAAUUCUCUGUGCCUGAGUUUUAGCAAAGACUUGGAUUUGAGAGGAGUAAAGAGACAAGAAAUUGGGCAGUGGUAUAGAUGCAUGUCAUUUCAUAGAAAUAGCUCUGAAAUGGGUGUCAGAAAUCUGGUUUUGAGAUCGGCUUUUGAGCAGCACUGCCACUUAACCUUGGGUAAAUAAUGUUACCUCAUUAACACUUAAACUUAUCUUAAAAUGAGCAGAAUUUGGUUACAUGUCUUCCAAGGACUAUGAUAGUGUCUCGGUCCCCCUUGGGCUACUUUAACAACGUACCUUAGGCUGGGUGGCUUUAAAUGAUAGAAAUUUAUUUUUCAUGGUUCUGGAGGCUACGAGUCCAAGAUCCAAGUGCAGGCCACUUUGGUUCCAUUUGAGAAUCUCUGGCAUGUAGGUAGCCACUGUCUAUGUCUGUUCCUGUGAGGGCACUAAUUUCGUUAUGAGGGCUCCACCCUCAGGACCUAAUUACCACCCAGAACCAUUCAGCUGAAGGCUUCAACAUAGGAUUUUGAAAGCCACAAACAUUCAGUCUGUAAGAGCCAGCUUAAAGUCUCUGACACCGUCACAUGUUCUUUCAUUUCCAAGUACCAUGCAGCUCAUCUAAGCUCAUCUAAAGUUUGCUUUAACGGCCAGUAUUGACAGUUAAAUAAAUAAACAUCGUAUGCACUUGCUCUGUGGAAGCCUUGAUGGUAGUUACCACAUGCCACUUUGCUGCUGCCGUGGGCUUUGCCAUUGUUCCAUUUAAACACACGUGUAUGAAUACAGUGCUGCUGAGAGCAGGCGAAGAAGAGUCUGCCAUGUGCCUUCUUUUAUUGGAAAAUAAUUGACAGGUUUCAAAAAGAAACCUGGAAUAGUCAGGCGGUUCCUAAUUCCAACAUGUAAUUGAUAAAGGGUAAUUUCUUUCCGCAUUUGCCCAACAUUUUCUUCUAUGGUAAUAAUUCACUGCAGCUGUGAGAAAGGAAGUGUAGGGAUUCCUUUUUGGGGUGGGGUGGGGCGGUCACCAGAGGCUUUGUUUUAUAUUAUAAAAUAUUUGUUCAUCAACCGUUUGUCGCUUGUAAAAUUUGCUGGUAGAAAAGCAUUUCGGUCAGUGAGAUCAGAGUUUCAAGUUCUUGUUUUAAAAGCUAUUUGAUGAGGAAUAGUUGACAGGGUAACUCUUCUCAUAUUCCGUGCAUUCUGGAUUCUAUCCAUCUGAAACAUACUUUGACGGGGAGGGGGGCGCAGGUUUCUAUACACUUGUAAAAAUGUUAAGGCAUCAGCCUCACAUGACUGAGAACUGCCUCUCAUGUUCCGGAUGUUACUCUGUAAUUGUAUGGAGCUACCAUGUGGAAUAUCUUUCUUCUAUUUAAUCUGUUCAUUCAAAAAAAAAAUCAUCUUUGGAAACUCUCCAGUGCCUUGAAUAUAACGGGGUGCUAUCUACGGUCAAUGAACAGUAGUCAGCGUCUCAUUUCUUAGCACUCAGUUCAACAGGCAGGCAAGUUGUUCUGUCUAACUUGCUGCCCUGCAUGGGUUUGCUUCCUGGCUCUUCAGUCUGCUUGUCCAGUAACCCUUAUCUCUCUGAAAUGUCUGUAUGUUCAUCUGAAAAUCCUGACUGGUGUCAAGCAUUACAUUGGAUAAGAAGAUGUCAGUAAAAUAGUACAAUUUUAAUAAUAAAUACGUAUUUUUAUUUGUUGCAUCAUGAAUUGCAAAGAAAUCCAAACUGAAAGAUUCCUAAGAGACACCCAUCACAUCUGUUUGGAAUUUAUAAGCCGACCAAUUCAGCAGAAAGUCGUUACUAAACGGGAGCUGUUACAGUUCCAUAAAAAGGUCCAGUUUUAUUCAGUGGCUACUUGAGGAAGAGCCUGUGACUUACUUUUGCGGAUUGAUUUUCUUGAAACGUGUUCAGGUCUGGCUUUGAAAAGGGAAGAAAAAGGGCAAUAAGGAGUAACAAUAAGAAGGGAGCUGCGCCUGAUUUUAUUUUCUCUCUUGGUGACCAGUUGCCUGUCUCGCUGGGCACACUGUGAGUAAUUUUAUACUUAAAGUCAAAGGACUCCUUGUGUAGGGUCUCAACGUGUCUAGUGUUACUUGAGUCUGAAGCAAUUUAAGAAGGCACACAUGGAAGUUCCCAGCCUAGGGGUCAAAUUGGAGCUGUAGCUGCCUGCCUGCACCACAGCCACAGCAACGCCAGAUCUGAGCCCUGUCUGCAACCUGCAUACACCACAGCUCAAUGUAAAGCCGGAUCCUUAACCCACUAAGCAAGGCCAGGGAUUGAACCUGCAUCCUUAUGGAUACUAGUCGGGUUCUUUACCACGGAGCCAUGACAGGAACUCCCUGUCCUCAAGUGUUUUAAUCUGCAAAAUAAAAGUAUACUUCUCUUAUAGAUUCUCUGGUUUAAUGUGCCUCACACAUAAUAAGUACCCCUAUAUACUAAUUAAAUAGGAAAUUUAAUCCAAUUAUUUGAUAUUAGCUUGAUUCAAACUUUGGUUUGGAGAAAUAUCAAAAAUCUUACUUGAACUCAUAUGAAGUUGUAGUUGUUUGAGGUUGCUCUGACCCACGGUAUAUGCCCUUGUGUGUAAUAAAAUGGUUCUUCUGUAUAUGGCAAUACGAAUUAGCUUAAAUCUAGCUGAAAAUACUACAUUCGACUUAUUUCAACUCCUUAUUUUCCCGAAUUGAAAAUCAACAAUCUUUUAUUAAAUUGUUCAAAAUUUAAAUAUCUAACAUCACAGAAUCACAUUUAUCAUCACAAUACUUUUAAAAUGCAAUUUAUAAUAAUUUUCAAAAUUAGGGAUUAGAUUUUAGGUAUGGAAAAGUUAAUAAAAGAUACACAAGUGAGCCGUAAAAAAGCAGACUUUUUUGUAUAGCUAUUUUAAUCUGGAUUUUUUUUUUCCCCUCUUAGAAUUCCCCUCAUUUCAUUCUUAUCAUGAAAAAAAAGGGCGGGGGAGGAAAAUGGAAGUAUUAUCUUUCUCUUGGGAUAAUGAGAUUGACUGAAUAAAAUCAAAUUGACUGUAAAAAAAAGCUGCAUGACUCAGGUGCCAGGGGCCUGGGGAAGACAGGGAAGUGGCUCUAGGUUCUGAAAGUAUUUGAAUGUAAUCAAUAGGAUAGUGUUUUAGGAAAUCAAUAGGAUAGGUUUUAGGAAAGAGCUAGAAAAUAGUUCCUAGGUAACACUGUCAUCAAGUGUUUAGACAUCUGGCUCAGGCAGGAUUAAUGAACACAGCAAAUCCUAAGAGAAUUCCCAGCAAACACAUGUCCUCUAAUGCAUAUUGGUGGGAAGGAAGAGAGGAAUAUUUUAAGGCAUGUGGUGCAGUUCAGAAUGUACCAGUUUGCAAAGGAUGAGAAUCAGGCUGCUUAUACACCGUAGUGUGUUAAACUUUCCAGGCCACAUUUAUAGAAGGUGAGAAAAAGAGGUUGAAGGAAGAUGGCAUCAGCUGAUGGACAGCCUUUUACACCAGUCAGAAGAGUUCACAUCAGAGCCAAGGAUUAUCAAGUAAUAUGAAUGAAAACUAUUUUCAAAGGAUCCAACUUGAUACGAAGUAUUUAGUUGACAUAGAAGUUAUAGAUGGGCUUAUAUGUUUGUACCUGUCUCCUUCUAAAUAGCCUUUGAAGAGAAUAAAACAAAUUUAUUUCUCUAGAAAUUAAAAAUAACUUCUCACUGUUCUCUUUCUGGCAAAAUAUGGCAUUUAUUUAGAAGGUCUGAUAUUUACCACUCGCUGCUACUAUUUGGUUCCAUAAAGCCUUCCUAAUUAUCUGAGAAAGCCAAAUGUGAUCUGGGCUUUCUUGGCAAAAGGAUAUUGACUUUCAUUAAGACUGAAUUGCAGUACAGACCUUUAAGCCUUUAUCUGCAUCUCAUUAACUGGCAUGUGAUUUGGGAGAGUGGCUAUUAAUUAUACAGAAGACGAUGAGUGAAUAGAAAGGAUCAUUCAAAGGCAAACCAUGCUUAAACCUGACUGUGUCUUCAAGCAUUAUUCACUUCAUCUGACAGGCAUUAAUUUACCUAAGUGUUUGGAAUCAGCGAGUGUAAGGGUUUCUAAAGGACACAUCUAGAAGCAACAUGAAUGUCUGUUUUUGUUUUUUUUUUUUUUUUUUCCAUUUCAUUUAAUGUAAUGCUAAGUCCUUUUUCUCGAGUUGGCUUAGUUGAAGUGGCAGGAAAAGAGCAUAUGUGAUAUAAUAGGAAUAAAUCCAAAAAAGCAGCUGAUGAGUGUUUUUGAGCUGAAUUCAUCUCUUCUCAUCAUACAUUAUGAUAGUAUACUCUUCUAAAAUCUACUGCAGGUUAAAAUAAAAUAAAAUGUUUCCUCAGUAUAAAGGUAAAAGAAGAGGCAGUUUUCACACCUAUUGUUAAGAUGUCAGAAAGUUGAUUGUGUCAUGUUGAAUCUAGACUGUACUGGAAAUUUCUAUUCUGCUUUCAUUUCUCUUAAGUGACACCUUCUUGUAAUAUAUUUUUGUAAAGCCAUAGAUAAGGAUAGAUUAAAAUGAAUGUGCAAUAAGCUAUGUGAACUUUCUUUUUCAGUUUUAUCUGUGGAAGUAAUGUUUUUAAAAUUUGGCCAUGUGCUCUCAAGUUUGGCCUUUUUUUUUAAUGUCAAAUGCUUGCAUCUAAUUUUCGUGUGCAAAAUUCACAUCGUUUCCAAUAUUAAAAUGAUAUGCCCUAAGGUAAUUGGCAAACUUACAAUGAAUACUGCAUGCAGAAUGCAUUGUGCUACAUUAGAUCAUUUUGCCGGGCAAUUGAAACUUGUAACAAUUAAUAUUUUUGCCAGGCAAUUGAAACUUGUAACAAUUAAUAUUUACCUUGGAAAGGCAGGGGUGGGGAGAGAAGGUUUUCCCAUAACACACAUGGGAUGGAUCUGAUCUGACUGGUUGAUUUCUCACUGGUUCCUUAUGAGUUGAGAUGUAACUGUGUAUGCGAAUGGCUGAUAGUUCUCACACUUGGAGCACAAAGGGGAACCAAUAAUUUUGACUGCAGAUUUUUGUAAAUAGUAAGCAUUCUAUGACAAUAAGAUCUUGGAGCAACUAAGCCAGGGUGGCUUUAGACACGCUUCUUGAGAUUUUCCAAGCUACAAAGGGCAGUGUCUCAGAGUUCAGACUGCUGAUAGUCCAUCUGAAAUACAUGGGAUAUUUGUUAAAGGAGUUUUCUUGACCUCAGUCCAGACUUAACCGAGUCGGAAUCUCUGAGAAGUGAAAUCUGGGAAUCUGCAUUUAACCCAUUUCUUGGGUAAUUCUUGACCACUGAUUUAAGUUAUCUUUUGAAUGUUUGGGGUGGUGAGCAAUAUAUUUCUCUGGAAAAUGUUUCUACUUAGUGGAUAUCACAUUAUAGUUUAUAUUUAUAUCAGUGUUAUAUAUUGCUAUAUAUAUUACAGAAUUACCAUAUCUUUCAAAAGUGGUAUCUAUGGGUCAGUGGAAGUAAAUUUAUGCCAUUGUCAUAGGUCUUUUCCUAUUUUCUUAUAAAAUGGUACUUCAAAAAAAUUACUUUGGGAGUUCCCGUUGUGGCUCAGUGGUUAAUAAAUCCGACUAAGAACCAUGAGGUUUUGGGUUCGAUCUCUGGAUCUGGCAUUGCUGUGAGCUGUGGUGUAAGUCGAAGACACAGUUUGGAUCUAGCAUUGCUGUGGCUCUGGCGUAGGACAGCAGUAACAGCUCUGAUUGGACUCCUAGCCUGGGAACCUCCAUAUGCCGCAAGUGCGGCCCUGU
rnacentral:lncRNA from 1 species